GAGCUAAUACCGCAUACGCCCUACGGGGGAAAGCGGGGGAUCUUCGGACCUCGUGCUAUUAGAUGCGCCUGCGUAAGAUUAGCUAGUUGGUGGGGUAAAGGCCUACCAAGGCGACGAUCUUUAGCUGGUCUGAGAGGAUGAUCAGCCACACCGGGACUGAGACACGGCCCGGACUCCUACGGGAGGCAGCAGUCGGGAAUAUUGCGCAAUGGGCGAAAGCCUGACGCAGCCAUGCCGCGUGUGUGAAGAAGGCCCUAGGGUUGUAAAGCACUUUCAAUUGGGAGGAAAAGCUAAUGGUUAAUAGCCAUUAGCCCUGACGUUACCUUUAGAAGAAGCACCGGCUAACUCCGUGCCAGCAGCCGCGGUAAUACGGAGGGUGCAAGCGUUAAUCGGAAUUACUGGGCGUAAAGCGCGCGUAGGCGGCUCUUUAAGUCGGAUGUGAAAGCCCCGGGCUCAACCUGGGAACUGCAUCCGAUACUGGGGAGCUAGAGUGUAGGAGAGGGAGGUAGAAUUCCAUGUGUAGCAGUGAAAUGCGUAGAUAUAUGGAGGAAUACCAGUGGCGAAGGCGGCCUCCUGGNUUAACACUGACGCCGAGGUGCGAAAGCGUGGGGAGCAAACGGGAUUAGAUACCCCGGUAGUCCACGCCGUAAACGAUGUCUACUAGCUGUAGGGGUACUUGAG
rnacentral:rRNA from 1 species